CAGCCGCCGCGGUAAAACGUAGGGUGCGAGCGUUAAUCGGAAUUACUGGGCGUAAAGCGUGCGCAGGCGGUUUUGUAAGACAGGCGUGAAAUCCACGGGCUCAACCUGGGAAUGGCGCUUGUGACUGCAAAGCUAGAGUGCGGCAGAGGGGGAUGGAAUUCCGCGUGUAGCAGUGAAAUGCGUAGAGAUGUGGAGGAAUACCGGUGGCGAAGGCAGCCCCCUGGGCCAAUACUGACGCUCAUGCACGAAAGCGUGGGGAGCAAACAGGAUUAGAUACCCCAGUAGUCCCUGUCUCUUAUAC
rnacentral:rRNA from 1 species